rnacentral:rRNA from 1 species
AUUGAACGCUGGCGGCAGGCCUAACACAUGCAAGUCGAACGGUAACAGAAAGCAGCUUGCUGCUUUUCUGACGAGUGGCGGACGGGUGAGUAAUGUCUGGGAAACUGCCUGAUGGAGGGGGAUAACUACUGGAAACGGUAGCUAAUACCGCAUAACGUCGCAAGACCAAAGAGGGGGACCUUCGGGCCUCUUGCCAUCGGAUGUGCCCAGAUGGGAUUAGCUAGUAGGUGGGGUAACGGCUCACCUAGGCGACGAUCCCUAGCUGGUCUGAGAGGAUGACCAGCCACACUGGAACUGAGACACGGUCCAGACUCCUACGGGAGGCAGCAGUGGGGAAUAUUGCACAAUGGGCGCAAGCCUGAUGCAGCCAUGCCGCGUGUAUGAAGAAGGCCUUCGGGUUGUAAAGUACUUUCAGCGGGGAGGAAGGGAGUAAAGUUAAUACCUUUGCUCAUUGACGUUACCCGCAGAAGAAGCACCGGCUAACUCCGUG